GGCGAAGGGGACGCUGCAACGCGGAGCGGGAGCACGAGGAGGGAAGGGGCUUGGCAAUGGGCCCCAAAGAGGCCGAGACCCCGGGAGUGCCGGCAGCGCUCUUUAUCACGCCUGGAGGCUCCUGCAGAGCCCCGGAACCGCCCGAACCUCCAGAAAUGCAGGCAGGGUGCACUCCCCAGGGGGUACAACUUUGGCAAUGAGGACUACAGAGGUCCGGGGAGAACCGGAGACCCGAGGAGCAUGAAGGCACUCUGUGACAUCACUGCCUACAAACGCAGGGGCCGGAAUGCAGUGACAGGACACUGCUGGGAGGAAAGUCUCCCAGCGCCUCCGUGUGGGGCUGCCUCCACUCCCAAUACCGUGCGGGGGGACUAGGACGACCCUGGUAAGUCAGCCACAGGAUAUCAGUUCUCAGAAUAGAAGAGAAGCCAGGUCUGGCAGCACCUGAUGAUGCAUUUCCAAUUAAUCUUGGAAUGAGAGCCGAGGGCAAGAAGCCAGCGGUGCCUGAGGGAUGCUAAAGAGCCAACCGAUCCAGGGAAACAAAUGCCAGCGAGGGACCCCACAGCAAAGAGACAGACACUGUGAGCAACUCUCCUGUUACCAUGAGGCUUGCGAGGCGUGUGUGCGGGUCUCCGCAUUGGCACCAUCUGCCAAUUCCUCAGGAGGACAGAACAAACCAGUGAGGCAUGAAGAUUAGAUUAUGUAACGCUCGAGGAUUGCUGUUUUCAAAGAGGAAACAAAUGGAAUGAAUUGAUUUGCUUGUCAAAGUCAUGUCACUAAAGGAGAUCUAUUCCCUCCCCUUCUAAGAGGACCUCAUUAAAGAGUGGAAUGAUUUCACAGAUUCA
rnacentral:lncRNA from 1 species